UCCUCUUUCAUCCAAUGUGUUUACUAUUGUACUAGGUGUUAUGGUUCUUUCAUAAAUGUCACCAAUGCACAGCCUCCUCCCUCCAACUCUUCCAUAGACUCUAAUGUUAAAAUGGCUCAGAAGGUUCGUUUGAAAAUCAGAAGAGCAUGGUGUCUUUCACUGUCACCACGUCCAUAUAAUAAACUCCACAGGCAUGAAAACUGAGAAUUAGGUAGACUAGACAUUGCUGCCGCUCACGGUGAAAGAAUUUCGUCAAUACGACUAUACUUUUCAUUUGGGAACGAUUUGUUUGGGCCUGACUUUUCUGUUCAUUUUAAGCAGCAAAAGUGAGGUGCAUGUCUGUGUCCGUGUGUAUGGAGCCAUUGGGUGCAGUCACUAUAGCAACCAGGCUCACACCUGCCUGCUUAACGAGCUCUCUCUCACUCUGCCAAGGUUAAACCUAAAAAUGUUAGAUUGUAGUAAGAUUAACUUUUUCAAUAGUACAAUAAGACAGAUUUGACAGGGUUUUGCCACAGAUUAAUAGUUUGUCACUAGUUAGUAUAUGCCAACUAAGUAGAGCAUUGUGAUUGGCACAAAGGUUUUUCAGAUCUGGGCAGUUGGAGUCAGUUGAUGACUUCAAAAUCAUCCUUUCUGACUGGAUAAUUAAAGCUCUCAGCAUCUAUUCGGUCUGUAGUUAUUUCCCACCUUUUAACUACGUUUAAUAAUCUAAUCUCAUUUAAUGUUCUGUUUAUAGUCUGUAUAGUUUAUCUCCCCAACGAAUACACUCAAAGUAGUCUUAAAAUAAAACCCACAAAACAGUUCAAGAUUUAAUACUUUUUAUUUGCUCAUUUAAUGCCAGUUGCCCUGUUUUUCUGUAUGUCACUCAUUCGCUUAUACUUGGGAAAAAGUACCAAUUUGUACACUAGUAUAGUGUAUUUUUUCCCUCUAUCUCUCUAUGUCUGUCACACACAGAGACCAACACACAGACAUGUAUAUGCUCAUUAUUGCUGUUCAAACUGAUGGUCAAAUUUCCAAGCACCACCUGAACGCCUCAUCUGUUUUUAACCUUCACUGGACCAACUGUCGUCAUUCCGCUUUGCUCUCUGCUGUGGAACCUGACUGACACUGUGCUUUGCCUGUGUGCAGAAGAAGAACAAGGACCAGAUCUCCAGUCUUCUCUCUCACAUCCCAACCCCCCAACCCCUCUAUCCUCUGUCCUGCUCCACCUGUUGUCUCUGCCUUCUUUCCAUCUGUAUUUCACUCUGUGGUUUGUGAGAAAUUUUGCCAAACCAAGAAUCUUAUUGCGGUUUGAUUUAAAGCCGUGUCUCUCCUGCUCUGUCUGUUCUCUCUGCUAAAUUUUCUCUCUACCUGUUUUUCACUCUUGGCUUGCUGCUGAAAAACGCCAAGCCAACAAAG